UACGUAGGGGGCAAGCGUUGUCCGGAAUUAUUGGGCGUAAAGAGCGCGUAGGCGGUCCGGUAAGUCGGCUGUGAAAGUCAAGGGCUCAACCCUUGAAAGCCGGCCGAUACUGUCGGACUAGAGUCCGGAAGAGGCGAGUGGAAUUCCCGGUGUAGCGGUGAAAUGCGCAGAUAUCGAGAGGAACACCAGUGGCGAAGGCGAGUCUCUGGACGACUCCUGACACUGAGGCACGAAAGCUAGGGGAGCAAACAGG
rnacentral:rRNA from 1 species